rnacentral:tRNA from 1 species
AGUAAGGUGGCUGAGGUUAGGCGAUAAGCUGUAAAUUUAUUCACGAAGUUUUCUUCUCUUACU